rnacentral:lncRNA from 1 species
UGAUACUCUUGCAUGUCCGGUGAGGGUCUCCUUCACCGGGUGUUAGGUAAAACCUUUGUGCCACCUUUGUUAUGUAGAACCAUUUCUCGUCACAAUGCACUGUGUUGUUCAUGGCCUUAAACCUUAACGCCAUCAUGAUUCGAUCAUACUCCAAUGCUUUCAAUGAAAAUCGUAGUCGAAGCAAUUUAUUGCGCUUGUGUGGGCUCUGAUCAGCCCUUGAUUAACCCACCUCCAAACGGUGCUUUUGCUUCGAUUGAUCCCCACGGCCAGCCUACGUAUUGUCGAUCGUUUUUGUAGAUCUAAGCUUUGUAUUAGCUCUAGGUCUACAUGAACUCUCUUUCUUCUAGGUGCAUUUGGUUUUGUCACUUAUAAGAUAAAUUUGCUCACCUCUAUCUCUUUGUUUUUUGGCUGCAGCCCAAAGGCGAGUGACAGUCCGCUUCGAUGACUUGAAGAUGGUGACAGCCUCCUUCAUGGCUCCACUCCUUGGCUUGCCAUUUUUCAGAUUUUGAAGAAGAUAUUGGACUAUUCUAUUCCUCUCUUGGUUUGACAGAUUUUUGCUCACCAUUGUUGGUGAUUUCUCUUAUUUUUGCAGUACGUAGAAUAGAUGAAGGGAGUUGUGCAGUACGUAGAAUAGAUGAAGGGAGUUAUUAUGUAUGGGCUGCCACCUUAUUUAUAGAUGUAUGUAGAGGGAAACUCAAAUUCCUUUUGAUUUUUGGUUGUAAAAACUGCCGCCCAAAUUUGGGUACCUUUUUCAAUGAAGUAAAUUUCAUUCUGCCGCCAGAAAGUGUCCGCUCCUUGCUUCCAGUAUUUUUUUUUAUUUUUUUUAUUCUGUCCAAUUUAAAUUAAUUUAAAUUUAAUCCAGAUAUUAAUUAAUCAACUUUAAAUUUAUAAAUGUUAAAAAGUGGAAAAAGUAGUUACAAGAGGUAGUUGGGAUUACCCCAC